rnacentral:misc_RNA from 1 species
UCUCCGUUGGUGAACCAGCGGAGGGAUCAUUGCUGAGCGAGGGUUUAACCGCCCGACCUCCAACCCUUUUGUGAACCACCUCGUUGCUUCGGGGGCGACCCUGCCGUUCGCGGCGUGGGGCCCCCGGAGCCCAUCAAACCCUGCGUAACUAAGUCGUCGGAGUUUAAACAAAUUAAACAAAACUUUCAACGACGGAUCUCUUGGUUCGGGCAUCGAUGAAGAACGCAGC